GCCAAUGAUGAGCGUUAGCCACUCUGAGCGGUGAAGAAAAGAGGGUUAGCUGAGG
rnacentral:snoRNA from 1 species